UACGUAGGCAGCGAGCGUUGUUCGGAGUUACUGGGCGUAAAGAGUGCGUAGGCGGUUUUCUAAGUUUGGUGUGAAAUCGUCCCGCUCAACUGGGAGGGUGCGCCGAAGACUGGAAGACUAGAGUGUGGGAGAGGUAAGCGGAAUUCCUGGUGUAGCGGUGAAAUGCGUAGAUAUCAGGAGGAACACCGGUGGCGAAGGCGGUCUCUGGCCGAUACUGACGCUGAGGAGCGAAAGCGUGGGAGCGAACAGG
rnacentral:rRNA from 1 species